rnacentral:tRNA from 1 species
GGUAGCAUAGAUCAAAUGGUAGAGCAAUUGCCUUGCAAGCAUGAGGCUCUGAGUUCAAACUCCAGUACUGCUG